rnacentral:piRNA from 1 species
UAUCACCAGUACCGUAGUUAGCCGACC